rnacentral:rRNA from 1 species
UGCCCCNNGAUUUAAAAAUUAAAGGGUNGCUGUAUAUUGACUGUACAAAGGUAGCAUAAUCCUUAGUCAUUUAAUUGAUGACUUGUAUGAAAGAUUUGAUGAGAUAUAAACUGUCUUAAUUUUAAAUUAUGGAAUUUAAUUUUUUAGUUAAAAAGCUAAAAUAAAUUAAAAAGACGAGAAGACCCUAUAGAGUUUUAUUUUAAUAUAAAUUUAUAAUUUUUUAUAAAUUUUAGAUUGAGAUUUUUAUUAAAAUUUUAUUGGGGUGAUAGAAAAAUUUAAUUAACUUUUUUUUUUAAAAAACAUAAAUAAGUGAAUAUUUGAUCCAGUUUUAUUGAUUAUAAGAAAAAAUUACCUUAGGGAUAACAGCGUAAUUUUUUUUUUUAGUUCGUAUAAGAAAAAAAGUUUGCGACCUCGAUGUUGGAUUAAGAUAAAAUUUAAAUGUAGAAGUUUAAA